rnacentral:rRNA from 1 species
AUUGAACGCUGGCGGCAGGCCUAACACAUGCAAGUCGAGCGGAAACGAUGGAAGCUUGCUUCCAGGCGUCGAGCGGCGGACGGGUGAGUAAUGCAUGAGAAUCUGCCUGAUAGUGGGGGAUAACCUGGGGAAACCCAGGCUAAUACCGCAUACGUCCUACGGGAGAAAGCAGGGGAUCUUCGGACCUUGCGCUAUCGGAUGAGCCCAUGUCGGAUUAGCUUGUUGGUGAGGUAAUGGCUCACCAAGGCGACGAUCCGUAGCUGGUCUGAGAGGGUGAUCAGCCACAUCGGGACUGAGACACGGCCCGAACUCCUACGGGAGGCAGCAGUGGGGAAUAUUGGACAAUGGGCGAAAGCCUGAUCCAGCCAUGCCGCGUGUGUGAAGAAGGCCCUCGGGUUGUAAAGCACUUUCAGUGGGGAAGAAAGCCUUGGGAUUAAUACUCCCGAGGAAGGACAUCACCCACAGAAGAAGCACCGGCUAACUCCGUGCCAGCAGCCGCGGUAAUACGGAGGGUGCGAGCGUUAAUCGGAAUUACUGGGCGUAAAGCGCGCGUAGGCGGUCUGAUAAGCCGGUUGUGAAAGCCCCGGGCUCAACCUGGGAACGGCAUCCGGAACUGUCAGGCUAGAGUGCAGGAGAGGAAGGUAGAAUUCCCGGUGUAGCGGUGAAAUGCGUAGAGAUCGGGAGGAAUACCAGUGGCGAAGGCGGCCUUCUGGACUGACACUGACGCUGAGGUGCGAAAGCGUGGGUAGCAAACA